rnacentral:rRNA from 1 species
AGUAACACAUAUCCAACCUGCCGUCUACUCUUGGACAGCCUUCUGAAAGGAAGAUUAAUACAAGAUGGCAUCAUGAGUUCACAUGUUCACAUGAUUAAAGGUAUUCCGGUAGACGAUGGGGAUGCGUUCCAUUAGAUAGUAGGCGGGGUAACGGCCCACCUAGUCUUCGAUGGAUAGGGGUUCUGAGAGGAAGGUCCCCCACAUUGGAACUGAGACACGGUCCAA